rnacentral:lncRNA from 1 species
CAUAUUCUACCUUCAUUCACUCCAUGUGAUAUAUCAGUUGUCUAUGAGCCAAAUACAAUAUACCUUUAAGCUCCAUCUUGCACCUCUUUGUGAACCAAGAGUUGUUUGUGCUAUGAAACCAAACACCUAAUUCCUUUGUUUUCGGUUGUUCUAAUACAAUGAUACUGUGUUGUAGGCCCUCACUUGUUGGUUCAUACCAGUUUACUCUUAGGUUCAUAUUUCACCCAUUGUUG